rnacentral:siRNA from 1 species
UCAUUUUAUGUUUAGGUAAGUU